UUGGAGUUCCAGGGCAGGGAGAGGAAAGAGUUUGAGAAACUUGGAAGUUCUUUCCUGGUAGUCUUAUAUCAAAGAUCAGCGUCUGUCUCAGGAGCAGCUGUUGCAUUAACUAUUCAUGAUAGUAACAUCAUAGGAAUUUUCCAGUAUACAGUGUAUGAACAAUAGUGACCCAUCUUCAGAAAGACAAGCAGUUUGUAAUGUCUCCACAAAGCAUGGUCAAAUCUCGAACUGCUUGUUGGGGAUCUGGGGACACAGGCAAAGACAGGCCAUCAGGAACAUUUUGUUGCCGCACCAUCCAGCAUCUUCCUUCAUGUGUUCCUGCUCUUCGCAGAUGGACACUAUCAAAGAAAUCCACAACUGGCCAAAUGCAGAGAACAACAGACCGUCGGGUGCAUAAUCUCAACUGAAAUACCUGCAACACAACCCUGAUAACUGGGGCUCAGGGAAAUGGGACUAUUUUGAGAGUCAAAGGACCAGGACACCUGAUGUGACAUGGGGUCUUCUAUAUAUGGCACGGAAGCUACACCAUGAAAUCCAAACAAUACGUCUGCCUAACAAGACUAACAUAGUGACAACACCAGUUGGCAUCACAGCUUGGAUGGGAGAACUAUCACAAGGCUCCACCCCUAGAAGAAGAGCUAUGGGCAAUCAGUGGCUGCUGAGACAGGGUCUUUAAUAAGUUAUGCCAUCUCGAGUUGUCAUCCCUAAAUGCAAAUGCAUACAAACAACACUAAAUGGACUCAGCAAGAUGUAGAUAUACAUAUGUGUGCAUAUAUACUUGAAGUAUAUAUAUGUAUUCACUUGAUAUAUAUAUACAUUUAUUUAUAUUAAAGUUAUAUUGUAUAUAAACACAUAGAAAAAGUAUGUAUUACUUGAAAAAGAAUUUGACUAGAAAUAUUGAAACAGGAGGAGUUGGAGAAGGGAGAGGAUAGGGUAGAAAUAAUGUAAAUACAGUAUUCAAAUAUGAAAAUGCCAAAAAAACUUCAAAAUAAAAGAAAGAAUAAACAAAUGCCCUUACCCCUUCAAUCCCUCCAAUUAAACAAAAACAAUAUCCAUCAUUUCUGCCACAAAAAAUUUGUGAAGCUUUUUUUAAAGACUAGAGAUUUAAUGGCAAAAUUAACUGAGAUAUUAAUAGGAUCUGCAUAGGUCUAGAAUAGGCAAGUAGAUGCCCUAAUUAGCUGAUUCAUCAUGUGUCAUGCUGAAGCCUGGGUGCAUAUUCAAUUUCACUCCCUUUUAAUAGUAGCUUUGAUGGAAUAUUGCAUAGUUUUUACUAAACAAAAGCUAUCUAUGUUAUCUAUCAUAGCUAUCUAUCAUCUAUCUAUCUAUCUAUCUAUCUAUCUAUCUAUCUAUAUCACCUAGCUAUCAUAUCUAUUUAUCUUCUAUCUAUCUCUAUC